rnacentral:rRNA from 1 species
CUACGUGCCAGCAGCCGCGGUAAUACGGAAGGUCCAGGCGUUAUCCGGAUUUAUUGGGUUUAAAGGGAGUGUAGGCGGUCUGUUAAGCGUGUUGUGAAAUUUAGGUGCUCAACAUCUACCUUGCAGCGCGAACUGGCGGACUUGAGUGCACGCAACGUAUGCGGAAUUCAUGGUGUAGCGGUGAAAUGCUUAGAUAUCAUGACGAACUCCGAUUGCGAAGGCAGCUUACUAAGGUACAACUGACGCUGAAGCACGAAAGCGUGGGUAUCAAACAGGAUUAGAUACCCUGGUAGUCCACGCAGUAAACGAUGAUAACUGGGCGUAUGCGAUAUACAGUAUGCUCCUAAGCGAAAGCGUUAAGUUAUCCACCUGGGGAGUACGCCGGCAACGGUGAAACUCAAAGGAAUUGACGGGGGCCCGCACAAGCGGAGGAACAUGUGGUUUAAUUCGAUGAUACGCGAGGAACCUUACCCGGGAUUGAA